rnacentral:ncRNA from 2 species
UUAGUAAAAGGAAAUGGUGUUCUUCCUUUCCCAACCGCUCCAAAAAAAGAGCUGAUGACGCCUGAUUAAAU